rnacentral:misc_RNA from 1 species
GCGGACUACCCGGGUUUCUAAUCCUGUUUGCUACCCACGCUUUCGCUCCUCAGCGUCAGUUUCGGCCCAGAGUGGUGCCUUCGCCAUCGGUGUUCCUCCUAAUAUCUGCGCAUUUCACCGCUACACUAGGAAUUCCCCACUCCCCUACCGAACUCUAGUCACAGCAGUUUCGGGUGCAGGCUCUGGGUUGAGCCCAGAGUUUUCACACCCGACUUGCUGAACCGCCUACGAGCUCUUUACGCCCAAUAAAUCCGGACAACGCUUGGAGCCUACGUGUUACCGCGGCUGCUGGCACGU